rnacentral:rRNA from 1 species
AGAGUUUGAUCCUGGCUCAGGAUGAACGCCGGCGGUGUGCCUAAUACAUGCAAGUCGAACGCGUUGGCCCAACUUGAUUGAACGUGCUUGCACGGACUUUGACGUUGGUUUACCAGCGAGUGGCGGACGGGUGAGUAACACGUAGGUAACCUUGCCCCAAAGCGGGGGAUAACAUUUGGAAACAGAUGCUAAUACCGCAUAACAAUUUGAAUCGCAUGAUUCAAAUUUGAAAGAUGGCUUCGGCUAUCACUUUGGGAUGGACCUGCGGCGCAUUAGCUUGUUGGUAGGGUAACGGCCUACCAAGGCUGUGAUGCGUAGCCGAGUUGAGAGACUGAUCGGCCACAAUGGAACUGAGACACGGUCCAUACUCCUACGGGAGGCAGCAGUAGGGAAUCUUCCACAAUGGGCGCAAGCCUGAUGGAGCAACACCGCGUGAGUGAAGAAGGGUUUCGGCUCGUAAAGCUCUGUUGUUAGAGAAGAACGUGCGCGAGAGCAACUGUUCACGCAGUGACGGUAUCUAACCAGAAAGUCACGGCUAACUACGUGCCAGCAGCCGCGGUAAUACGUAGGUGGCAAGCGUUAUCCGGAUUUAUUGGGCGUAAAGCGAGCGCAGGCGGUUUGAUAAGUCUGAUGUGAAAGCCUUUGGCUUAACCAAAGAAGUGCAUCGGAAACUGUCAGACUUGAGUGCAGAAGAGGACAGUGGAACUCCAUGUGUAGCGGUGGAAUGCGUAGAUAUAUGGAAGAACACCAGUGGCGAAGGCGGCUGUCUGGUCUGCAACUGACGCUGAGGCUCGAAAGCAUGGGUAGCGAACAGGAUUAGAUACCCUGGUAGUCCAUGCCGUAAACGAUGAGUGCUAGGUGUUGGAGGGUUUCCGCCCUUCAGUGCCGCAGCU